rnacentral:rRNA from 1 species
UACGAGGGGGGUAAGCGUUGUUCGGAAUUACUGGGCGUAAAGGGCUCGUAGGCGGCCAACUAAGUCAGACGUGAAAUCCCGCAGCUUAACUGGGGAACUGCGUCUGAUACUGGAUGGCUUGGAUUUGGGAGAGGGAUGCGGAAUUCCAGGUGUAGCGGUGAAAUGCGUAGAUAUCUGGAGGAACACCGGUGGCGAAGGCGGCAUCCUGGACCGGCAUUGACGCUGAGGCGCGAAAGCCAGGGGAGCAAACGGG